rnacentral:lncRNA from 1 species
GAAAACAUCUGGUUCCUUUCAGAGUACAUGGACUGCAAUCAUUUGGUGAAAAGUUGGUAUGUUCUGAAGGUUUAGUGAAGUAUCAAUAUGUACUUUGUUCUUCAAAGAAAAAGUUGGACUAAGAAAAUUCCCAGUGCUUGGUGAAGGAAGCUGCAAAGGAAUCACAAGAAGCCACAAGACUCAGAAGAAAGAGAGCAAUACAGCAUUCCUUCUCAACAUAUCUACUGUAUUGUCCCACUCCAGUAGGAAAAUAGUGAAAGAUCAUACAGUGCAGAGCUCCACCCGAGGAUAUUCCUGGAGUGAAAGAGAAAGGAUUCGUCAGCUAUCCAUUUGAUCCAGUUUUAUAUUAAAACAAU